GGAGGUUCCACAGGAGAAAGAGGGAAGCUGUAAGCGAGCUGGCUUCCCUCGAGACUUCUUGGCUAGAAGCAGAAGCUUUCUGAAAUUCCACUAGAAGAGGCAGUAACGGCCCUCCCUCUCCCAAUGAACCCCUCUUCCCAACGAAUCUCCUCCUCUUUCAUGCUCCUUUGGUGUGACCCACUGAGGUUAAUGAGAGCUGCUUGCAAGAGCAUGGGGAGAGUCUUACUGGAGACUGGACACCUUAUCGGUGGCUACACCACUAAAGAAAACGGCCCUUCCCCUGGAAACCAUUAGCUGCCAACAGUCCAUCCACGAUGAAUGCUGACAGGCCCAAUCGUGUGCAGAUCACCACAGCUGCAGGACUUCCUGUCUGCAGCUGCCGUGUCGUAUCCAGAAGACUCUUUCUGCAGCACAUCUCUCCACCCUCUGGCUCACACAUUCCUUCUGCCCAUUCUUCCAAGAUGUUCCCAGAACUUUGGAGAGGGUGAUGGCUCACUUGGGGUGAAGCAUUCCACCAUCACUUACACUUAGCAUUUUGGCCAGUUAUAGGUUUCUGCAUUAAUUGCCUCCUAGGCAAUAAAAAGCUUUUCUGAAGCCAAGUGCAGCACUAA